rnacentral:rRNA from 1 species
GAGUUUGAUCCUGGCUCAGAUUGCACGCUGGNNGCAUGCUUUACACAUGCAAGUCGAACGGUAACAGGUCUUCGGAUGCUGACGAGUGGCGAACGGGUGAGUAAUACAUCGGAACGUGCCUAGUAGUGGGGGAUAACUACUCGAAAGAGUAGCUAAUACCGCAUGAGAUCUACGGAUGAAAGCAGGGGACCUUCGGGCCAUUGUGCUACUAGAGCGGCUGAUGGCAGAUUAGGUAGUUGGUGGGGUAAAUGGCUUACCAAGCCUGCAGAUCUGUAGCUGGUCUGAGAGGACGACCAGCCACACUGGGACUGAGACACGGCCCAGACUCCUACGGGAGNGCAGCAGUGGGGAAUUUUGGACAAUGGGCGAAAGCCUGAUCCAGCAAUGCCGCGUGCAGGAUGAAGGCCCUCGGGUUGUAAACUGCUUAUAUGUACGGAACGAAAAGCCUGGGGCUAAUAUACCCCGGGUCAUGACGGUACCGUAAGAAUAAGCANCCGGCUAACUACGUGCCAGACAGCCAGCGGUAAUACGUAGGGUGCAAGCGUCAAUCGGAAUUACUGGGCGUAAAGCGUG